rnacentral:rRNA from 2 species
UUAACCUUCGGGAGGGCGCUUACCACUUUGUGAUUCAUGACUGGGGUGAAGUCGUAACAAGGUAACCGUAGGGGAACCUGCGGUUGGAUCACCUCCUUACCUGAAAGAA